UGGGGGAUAUUGCACAAUGGGGGAAGCCCUGAUGCAGCGACGCCGCGUGGGUGAAGGAGUGCUUCGGCAUGUAAAGCCCUAUCGGCAGGGAAGAAUAUGACGGUACCUGACUAAGAAGCCCCGGCUAACUACGUGCCAGCAGCCGCGGUAAUACGUAGGGGGCAAGCGUUAUCCGGAUUCACUGGGUGUAAAGGGAGCGUAGACGGCCAUGCAAGCCUGGAGUGAAAGCCCGGGGCCCAACCCCGGGCAGCUGCUCUGGGAACUGGACAUGGCUGGAGUGCGGGAGGGGCAGGGCGGGAAUUGCCGUGGAUGCUAGCGGUGGAAAUGCAGUAGAUAUCAGGAGGAACACCGGCGGCGAAGGCGGCCUGCUGGACCGCGACUGACGUUGAGGCUCGAAAGCGUGGGGAGCGAACAGGAUUAGAUACC
rnacentral:rRNA from 1 species